UGACCUGUAGCUCAGCGGUUAGAGCAGCCCCGACUCGUCGGGGUUGGUCUGGGGUUCAACUCUCUAGGUCGC
rnacentral:tRNA from 1 species